rfam:Oscillibacter sp. CAG:241 genomic scaffold, scf145
ACAAUCAAUAGAGGCGCGGGCGACAGGGUACUGCUUCGCAGGGGACAGACAUCCGUUACAAACGGAGCAGAAAGGGGCCGCUCGCCGAAAGGACAAUGUCGGUCUGUGACCUUGCCCUUGGGGACGCUUGCGUAAGCUGCGUUACUGUCAUGUUAUCGUGUUUGUAACAUGGAGCGCUAUUGGUCAA